CUAAUCUAUAUAAUUCAGUCAAAGAAAAUGGCACUUCCUUUCUUUAUUUGGUAAAUAUAAUGAAUAUAUAAUAUCAAGUAACAAAUUUUGGUUGUUGCAGAGGGACAACUGGAAACCAUUGUUGAAGAUAUUGAAAAUAUGGUCCGCUCUUAUGUUGAGAAGCCUAACUCUAUCAUAUUGGCUAUAUCUCCUGCAAAUCAAGAUAUUGCCACAUCAAAUGCAAUCAAACUUGCAAGAGAAGUUGAUCCUUCAGGUGAAAGAACAUUUGGGGUGCUAACAAAACUUGAUUUAAUGGACAAAGGGACC